rnacentral:rRNA from 1 species
AGUGAACGCUGGCGGUAGGCCUAACACAUGCAAGUCGAACGGCAGCACAGUAAGAGCUUGCUCUUACGGGUGGCGAGUGGCAGACGGGUGAGGAAUACAUCGGAAUCUACUUUUUCGUGGGGGAUAACGUAGGGAAACUUACGCUAAUACCGCAUACGACCUACGGGUGAAAGCAGGGGAUCUUCGGACCUUGCGCGAUUGAAUGAGCCGAUGUCGGAUUAGCUAGUUGGCGGGGUAAAGGCCCACCAAGGCGACGAUCCGUAGCUGGUCUGGGAGGAUGAUCAGCCACACUGGAACUGAGACACGGGCCAGACUCCUACGGGAGGCAGCAGUGGGGAAUAUUGGACAAUGGGCGCAAGCCUGAUCCAGCCAUACCGCGUGGGUGAAGAAGGCCUUCGGGUUGUAAAGCCCUUUUGUUGGGAAAGAAAAGCAGCAGGUUAAUACCCCGCUGUUCUGACGGUACCCAAAGAAUAAGCACCGGCUAACUUCGU